UGGAAUGUGCUGCCAACUGAAAAUGACUACGGUUUUGUUUCUGUUGUAGGUUUUUUUUAAUGUUUUAAAUUUAACAAUAAACAAGAUUUCGGAAACUAAUGGCUUGACGUGUUCCUCUAACAAUGAAUUAUGAACCAAGAAUGUCAGAACUAAACAGCUGAGAACACCGAGUGCUGUGGGUUCCCUGGCCUAUUCCGGAAACACCGAAAGUGGCUCAUGUAUGAGGACUUUAAAGCAGCGCAUUAGAAGAACGACCAUUGUAUAAGAGGAAAGGGAUGGUUAGAGGCACUCCUAGCAACACCUUCCUGCUAAGAAAGAAAAAGGAUUUCUAAUCCUCAUCAUAAUUAUUCUGUAAAAGCAUGUCAAGAUGGGAGGGACAGCCGAAGAAGUUUACAAGGACUUAGGCACAACCACAAGAUCAUUAAAUUGACAAAGCCACUGUGAGUCCAAGGAGAAACUAUGCCUGAACAUGUCAAAAUGAAAGUCCUCCUUGUGACGACGGAAGACCUAGUACUUGAACAUAUUCAGCCUUUUUAAAUGUCACUACCAUAUGGAGUUUUAGCUUGUUAUUUUCCUUUCUUAUGACACAUUUUAUAACUAAAUGUAUGAGUUAAUCUCUA